rnacentral:rRNA from 1 species
AACACAUGCAAGUCGAACGGCAGCACAGAGGAGCUUGCUCCUUGGGUGGCGAGUGGCGGACGGGUGAGGAAUACGUCGGAAUCUGCCUAUUUGUGGGGGAUAACGUAGGGAAACUUACGCUAAUACCGCAUACGACCUACGGGUGAAAGUGGGGGACCGCAAGGCCUCACGCAGAUAGAUGAGCCGACGUCGGAUUAGCUAGUUGGCGGGGUAAAGGCCCACCAAGGCGACGAUCCGUAGCUGGUCUGAGAGGAUGAUCAGCCACACUGGAACUGAGACACGGUCCAGACUCCUACGGGAGGCAGCAGUGGGGAAUAUUGGACAAUGGGCGCAAGCCUGAUCCAGCCAUGCCGCGUGUGUGAAGAAGGCCUUCGGGUUGUAAAGCACUUUUGUCCGGAAAGAAAAGCUUAGGGUUAAUAACCCUGAGUCAUGACGGUACCGGAAGAAUAAGCACCGGCUAACCUCGUGCCAGCAGCCGCGGUAAUACGAAGGGUGCAAGCGUUACUCGGAAUUACUGGGCGU